GAUGAACGCUGGCGGCGUGCCUAAUACAUGCAAGUCGAGCGAACAGACGAGGAGCUUGCUCCUCUGACGUUAGCGGCGGACGGGUGAGUAACACGUGGAUAACCUACCUAUAAGACUGGGAUAACUUCGGGAAACCGGAGCUAAUACCGGAUAAUAUAUUGAACCGCAUGGUUCAAUAGUGAAAGACGGUUUUGCUGUCACUUAUAGAUGGAUCCGCGCCGCAUUAGCUAGUUGGUAAGGUAACGGCUUACCAAGGCAACGAUGCGUAGCCGACCUGAGAGGGUGAUCGGCCACACUGGAACUGAGCCACGGUCCAGACUCCUACGGGAGGCAGCAGUAGGGAAUCUUCCGCAAUGGGCGAAAGCCUGACGGAGCAACGCCGCGUGAGUGAUGAAGGUCUUCGGAUCGUAAAACGCUGUUAUUAGGGAAGAACAAAUGUGUAAGUAACUAUGCACGUCUUGACGGUACCUAAUCAGAAAGCCACGGCUAACUACGUG
rnacentral:rRNA from 1 species